AAAUUGAAGAGUUUGAUCAUGGCUCAGAUUGAACGCUGGCGGCAGGCCUAACACAUGCAAGUCGAACGGUAGCACAGAGAGCUUGCUCUCGGGUGACGAGUGGCGGACGGGUGAGUAAUGUCUGGGAAACUGCCUGAUGGAGGGGGAUAACUACUGGAAACGGUGGC
rnacentral:rRNA from 1 species